CGACAGCAUGGAGAACGUGUGUCGGCGGUAUAGGACUAGAUUUGUUUGCAACGUUUUUGUGUUAACGUAAUUCUGGAUCGUGAUGCUGCAAGACAUUUGAAAUAGAGAAAAGAAUGGAGAAUAAAAGGAGGAAAAAGAUGGCGAAAGAGGAGUGCAUUGGUUGCCAAUGUCUCAAGAAGCAAACAGUUUUCAUGGUCGGUCAAAGAACUCGGAUGUAUUUGCGUCAAUACCAGCCAUUAAAUGUUAUCAGUGAUCGUCUAUUUCGAAACAUCAUUCCAUACAGG